UUGGAGGGCAAGUCUGGUGCCAGCAGCCGCGGUAAUUCCAGCUCCAAUAGCGUAUAUUAAAGUUGUUGCAGUUAAAAAGCUCGUAGUUGAAUUUCGGAAUUUUUUUAUCGGUUGAAUCAACAGGUUCUUACUGAUUUUAAGAAUUUCUACCUUCUGGAGAACCUUAAUGUCAUUAAUUUGGUGUUUUGGGAAACCAGGACUGUCACCUUGAAAAAAUUAGAGUGUUUAAAGCAGGCUUAUGUCUGAGUAUAUUAGCAUGGAAUAAUGAAAUAGGACGGCAUGGUUCUAUUUUGUUGGUUUCUAGGAUCACCGUAAUGAUUAAUAGGGAUAGUUGGGGGCAUUAGUAUUCAAUUGUCAGAGGUGAAAUUCUUGGAUUUAUUGAAGACUAACUUCUGCGAAAGCAUUUGCCAAGGAUGUUUUCAUUAAUCAAGAACGAAAGUUAGGGGAUCGAAGACGAUCAGAUACCGUCGUAGUCUUAACCAUAAACUAUGCCGACUAGGAAUCGGACGAAGUUAAUUUUUUAAUGACUCGUUCGGCGCCUUACGGGAAACCAAAGUGUUUGGGUUC
rnacentral:rRNA from 1 species